rnacentral:rRNA from 1 species
UACGGAGGGAGCUAGCGUUAUUCGGAAUUACUGGGCGUAAAGCGCACGUAGGCGGCUUUGUAAGUUAGAGGUGAAAGCCUGGAGCUCAACUCCAGAACUGCCUUUAAGACUGCAUCGCUUGAAUCCAGGAGAGGUGAGUGGAAUUCCGAGUGCAGAGGUGAAAUUCGUAGAUAUUCGGAAGAACACCAGUGGCGAAGGCGGCUCACUGGACUGGUAUUGACGCUGAGGUGCGAAAGCGUGGGGAGCAAACAGG